rnacentral:rRNA from 1 species
GACGAACGCUGGCGGCGUGCUUAACACAUGCAAGUCGAACGGAAAGGCCCUGCUUUUGUGGGGUGCUCGAGUGGCGAACGGGUGAGUAACACGUGAGUAACCUGCCCUUGACUUUGGGAUAACUUCAGGAAACUGGGGCUAAUACCGGAUAGGAGCUCCUGCUGCAUGGUGGGGGUUGGAAAGUUUCGGCGGUUGGGGAUGGACUCGCGGCUUAUCAGCUUGUUGGUGGGGUAGUGGCUUACCAAGGCUUUGACGGGUAGCCGGCCUGAGAGGGUGACCGGAAACAUGGGGCAUGAUAAACGCCCGAGCCUCCUAGGGGGGGCAGCAGGGGGGAAUAUGGCACAAGGGGCGGAAGCCUGAUAAAACCGCGCCGGGGGCGGGAGGACGGCUUUCGGGUUGAAAACCGCUUGCCCCUGGGACGAGGGGGGAGGGAGGGAAAGGGAUAAAGAGGCACCGGCAAACUACGCC